ACCCUCGGGUGACAGGGAGGACAGGUGGUGCAUGGUUGUCGUCAGCUCGUGUCGUGAGAUGUUGGGUUAAGUCCCGCAACGAGCGCAACCCCUACGUUUAGUUGCUAACGCGUGAAGGCGAGCACUCUAGACGAACUGCCGUUGACAAAACGGAGGAAGGUGGGGAUGACGUCAAAUCAUCAUGCCCCUUAUGUUCUGGGCUACACACGUGCUACAAUGGCCGGUACAGACGGAGGCGAAGCCGCGAGGCGGAGCAAAUCCGAAAAAGCCGGUCUCAGUUCGGAUUGCAGGCUGCAAUUCGCCUGCAUGAAGUCGGAAUCGCUAGUAAUCGCAGGUCAGCAUACUGCGGUGAAUACGUUCCCGGGCCUU
rnacentral:rRNA from 1 species